rnacentral:rRNA from 1 species
GACGAACGCUGGCGGCGUGCUUAACACAUGCAAGUCGAACGGGAUCCAUGGAGUAGCAAUACUCCGGAAGAUCUAGUGGCGAACGGGUGAGGAACACGUGAAGAACCUGCCCUGAACUCUGGGAUAACAGUUGGAAACGACUGCUAAUACCGGAUGUCGUUGUCGGAGUCGCAUGGCUCUACAACGAAAGUUUUUCGGUUCAGGAGGGCUUCGCGGCCUAUCAGCUAGUUGGUGAGGUAAUGGCUCACCAAGGCAUCGACGGGUAGCUGGUCUGAGAGGAUGAUCAGCCACACUGUGACUGAGACACGGCGCGGACUCCUACGGGAGGCAGCAGUGGGGAAUCUUGCGCAAUGGGCGAAAGCCUGACGCAGCAACGCCGCGUGCGGGAAGAAGGCUUUAGGGUUGUAAACCGCUUUCAGCAGGGAAGAAAAUGACGGUACCUGCAGAAGAAGGUGCGGCCAACUACGUGCCAGCAGCCGCGGUAA